rnacentral:rRNA from 1 species
GAUGAACGCUGGCGGCGUGCUUAACACAUGCAAGUCGAGCGAGAAAAGUUCUUCGGAGCUUUUCUAGCGGCGGACGGGUGAGUAACACGUGGGCAACCUGCCUCAUAGAGGGGGAUAGCCUUCCGAAAGGAAGAUUAAUACCGCAUAACAUUGUUGAAAGGCAUCUUUUAACAAUCAAAGGAGCAAUCCGCUAUGAGAUGGGCCCGCGGCGCAUUAGCUAGUUGGUGAGGUAACGGCUCACCAAGGCGACGAUGCGUAGCCGACCUGAGAGGGUGAUCGGCCACAUUGGAACUGAGACACGGUCCAGACUCCUACGGGAGGCAGCAGUGGGGAAUAUUGCACAAGGGGGGAAACCCUGAUGCAGCAACGCCGCGUGAGUGAUGAAGGUCUUCGGAUUGUAAAGCUCUGUCUUUAGGGACGAUAAUGACGGUACCUAAGGAGGAAGCCACGGCUAACUACGUGCCAGCCGCCGCCGUAAAAC